AAACGGGUAGUAUGCAAUCGGAACGUGCCCACUGUGGGGGAUUGCUCGGCGAAAGCCGGAUUAUACCGCAUACGAUCCACGGAUGAAAGCGGGGGACCUUCGGGCCUCGCGCAGUUGGAGCGGCCGAUGUUAGAUUAGGUAGUUGGUGGGGUAAAGGCUCACCAAGCCAACGAUCUAUAGCUGGUCUGAGAGGACGACCAGCCACACUUGGGACUUGAGACACGGCCCAGACUCCUACGGGAGGCAGCAGUGGGGAAUUUUUGGACAAUGGGCGCAAGCCUGAUCCAGCAAUACCGCGUGCAGGAAGAA
rnacentral:rRNA from 1 species